AUGCACGCUAGCGGGAGGCCUAACACCUGCCAGCCGCGCGGUAGAGUUUCUUCGGAAACUUGAGAGCGGCGCACGGGUGCGUAACACGUGUGCAACCUACCUUUAUCUGGGGGAUAGCCUUUCGAAAGGAAGAUUAAUACCCCAUAAUAUAAUGAUUGGCAUCAAUUAUUAUUGAAAACUCCGGUGGAUAGAGAUGGGCACGCGCAAGAUUAGAUAGUUGGUGAGGUAACGGCUCACCAAGUCAAUGAUCUUUAGGGGUCCUGAGAGGGAGAUCCCCCACACUGGUACUGAGACACGGACCAGACUCCUACGGGAGGCAGCAGUGAGGAAUAUUGAACAAUGGGUGAGAGCCUGAUCCAGCCAUCCCGCGUGAAGGAUGACGGUCCUAUGGAUUGUAAACUUCUUUUGUACAGGGAUAAACCUACCCUCGUGAGGGUAGCUGAAGGUACUGUACGAAUAAGCACCGGCUAACUCCGUG
rnacentral:rRNA from 1 species